GCUGGCGGCAGGCUAACACUGCAGGUGUAAGCGCGCCUUCGGGUGAGCGCUGGACGGGUAUAGUAACGCGUGGGAACGUGCCCUUCUCUACGGAAUAGCCUCUGGAAACGGAGAGUAAUACCGUAUACGCCCUUUGGGGGAAAGAUUAUCGGAGAAGGAUCGGCCCGCGUUAGAUUAGGUAGUUGGUGGGGUAACGGCCUACCAAGCCUACGAUCUAUAGCUGGUUUUAGAGGAUGAUCAGCAACACUGGGACUGAGACACGGCCCAGACUCCUACGGGAGGCAGCAGUGGGGAAUCUUAGACCAAUGGGGGCAACCCUGAUCUAGCCCUGUCCGCGUGAGUGAUGAAAGGCCUACGGGUCAGUACAGAUCUUUCGCCCUUGUGAUUGAUUAUUGACAGUACCCCAGUUAGAGAAAACCCCGGGUUAACUCCCGUUGCCAGCAAUACGCUGGAAUAAGGAGGGGGUUAGCGGUGGUCGGAAUUACGGGGCGUAAGAGCGCGUAAGAGGUUUAAAAAGUGCGGGGUGAAUCCCAGGGGUCAACCCCGGAAUGGCUCCAAAAUGUAGUUUGAGUCGAGAAGGUGAUGGAUUCCGGUGUGAGGUGAAAACGAAUAUUCUGAGGACCCAGUGUGUAAGCGGUCCUGGGUGAUAUGAAGCUAGGUGGAAGUGUGUGAGCAAA
rnacentral:rRNA from 1 species